GGCAGAGUGCCAGAGUGGUUAAUGGGUAGGUCUUGAAUAGAGACUUCCCUCCAAGUUUCAGAAUAUUGAUAACCUAUGGUUUCGACCUCGCAGGUUCGAAUCCUGUCUCUGUCG
rnacentral:tRNA from 1 species